rnacentral:rRNA from 1 species
UACGUAGGGUGCGAGCGUUAAUCGGAAUUACUGGGCGUAAAGUGUGCGCAGGCGGCAGAGCAAGUCGAGUGUGAAAGCCCCGGGCUUAACUUGGGAAUUGCGCUCGAAACUACUUUGCUGGAGUGUGGCAGAGGAAGGUGGAAUUCCACGUGUAGCGGUGAAAUGCUUAGAUAUGACAUAGAACACCAAUUGCGAAGGCAGCUCACUACGGGAUUAUUGACACUGAGGCACGAAAGCGUGGGGAUCAAACAGG